GGACGUGUAGCUGCUGGCUGGUAUGUAGCCGGCGCCUUAUAAGCGCCAGUCCGUGAGUUCAACUCUCACCACGUCCACCA
rnacentral:tRNA from 1 species